GAACCUGAUGUUGAUUAUAUAUGUGAGAACAUCACCAAAAAAGAAGAUGAGAAUCUAGCGGGGAUAGAACCUGAAUCUGAACCAAGUGGUCAGCAUUCACAUCAUCACCACCAAGUGCCCAGGCACAGACACCACCACCACCACCACCAUCGUGAGGGUGGGCGUCAUUCCAAAAAUCAGAACCAUCAGGCCCCUUCUGAAUCUCAAAGACGUCACCCUCACAAUGGUCGACGUCAGAGAGUUUUUAACCAUAACAGACAUGAUCAAAUAGGUAGCCAUGAUCAGAUAGAAACUCUUCCUCCGGGAGAAGGUGUGGAAAUUCUUCCACAUGUUACAAAACUAUGAAAAAAGGGGAAAACCAUCUGUAAAAACCAGUUAACUUGAAACUGGCAGACAGCAUCAGACUCAACAACCAGUAGCUGAUGCUGUCAUUGUCGACACCUUUUGUUUGAAGAGCUAGGAAAUUCUGUCACUUGACAGUGUCAUGGAACACUUCCAAGUUCGUGCAGGUGACAUGGCCAGCUGUUAGCAGAGGACAUCACUGAAUCCUGACAGUGACGUCUGCUCACUGCUGCCUGAGAGUCAGCAGCAGCAGGAGGAAGUGAAACUAGUGACGCCUGACAGUGACAGGAAAAGGCAGGAAACUGAGCAUGAAAAACAAACUAAACACUUAAAAAAGGCAGGGGACUCAUAUGACCUACAUAUACUUAAUUGCAAGACUGGAAAAGCUAUCAGAUUAGGUAUUUCUAUUGCUCCCAAAUAAAAAUUAGACUAAGAUGACAGUGUAGAGCUAAAAUUUUGCAAAGAGCAGUGCUCUUGGUAUUAGACAAGACCUGUCAAACUCCAUCAGUGAAAAUUUCUUGCUAUAAAGGAAUUGGAUUAACCCAUAGUUUGUUUUUCAAUUACACUGGAAAGGUGUCUGCUUGGUUGAUUAAUUUGUCUGUCUUGUUUAUCUUCUAACGUUCUGCUUGCAUUUGUGAGGACAGGAGCAUAAACUAUGACCUAGGGGCUCCUGUUUGAUAUUUUGCAAUCAAGAACAGGAGAUAAGCAAAAGAGAUAUUUUAAUAUAUAUAUAUAUAUAUUUUUUAAUUAAGAGGGGAUAUAUUCAAAAAAUUUUUUUUUUCUCUGAAGUAGGUAUACAAAUUAUAUACAAGCAAAGUUCAUCGCUAAAUAGCGGACCAAAAUAACUUUUUAUCUCAAGGGUAAGAUACAACUGUAACUGCAUUGUUUUAAAGUAACAGAUCAUAUACUUAACUUUUGAGGGUUAAAUAUAGUACAAGUUUCACUGAUGCACACUAUUACAGUUCGUCAAAUCCCACUGAAUCAGUAAAUUCAUGCUGAAGUGAGAAGCAAUAUUAACAACUCUUUGUGCAGAUUCAGUGCCUCUAUUAAGAAAGAGACAGGACAAAUUCAGUCUUGGUUUAAUGCUUUUCUUUGCUUAUGAGAGUAUGGAAUUUGUUAUCUGUAUUGAUUCGUAAGGCAAUAUACCACUGACAUUUUUGUAAUUUCUUUGUAUGUAGCUUAACAUUUUCUAAUUUUGAUUAACCAUGUUGAAAUAAAAAUUCUUUUGUUCAAAGGAUUCCUGGAUGAGCAGAGUAUUCAAGAAAGGAAAGCAGCUUUGAAAGCAUACACCACAAUUAAUGAUGAUUGAAUAGGAAAAUUAUUACCCCUAUGAAAACUGAAUCUUUUUGUGGUGAAUGCUGAUUAGCAAGAAAAAUAGUACUGAACAUAAACAAAAUGCAUGCCUUCGGGAUACUUGACAAGAGACUUUUCAAUAAAAGAUAUUCAGCAUUU